rnacentral:rRNA from 1 species
GUGUCCUGGGGUCAAGCAUCCCCCAAUGGUCUCUUAAUGCGUGCCCUCUUCUGGAACAUCCGCGGAUUCGGCCAUGAUGGUCGCCGCCGCCAACUCAUCGAAUACAUUCGCGACGAACACAUCGACAUUGUCGCCAUCCAAGAAACAAUGCGCACGGAGUUCUCUCUCCCGGAGCUCGAUCGUCUGAGCUCCCAUCUCUUUGCGUGGCAUUGGCUCCCUUCUAGUGGGAGCGCUGGCCAUUCGGGUGGCAUCCUUUUAGGUGUGAAGGAUGCCACCUUCGAGGUGGGUAGCAUGGAUCGAGGCCAGUUCUUUGUUAGCAUGGAGCUCUUCGAGCGGGCGCUGAACUUCAAGUGGGAGGUCAUCAUCGUCUACGGCCCUGCUGACCAUAGUAGGUCCGCCUCAUUCCUCGAGGAGCUCCACCCGAAGGUCUCGGCGGCCUUGCUUCUGGUGGUGGUUGGCGGUGAUUUUAACCUCCUCCGGUUCGUUGAAGACAAGAGCAACUCGAAUGUUAACUUGGCGCGGAUGCAGAUGUUUAAUAACUGCAUUGCUAACCUCGGUCUCCGAGAGAUUGACCGGAUUGGGGCCAGAUUUACCUGGACCAAUCGCCAGGCCUCCCCGACCCAGUCCGUCCUGGACCGGGUCCUAGUUUCCCCGGAAUGGGACCUCCGCUGCUCCCUUUCCUCCCCCCGUGCCAUCAACCGGAUUGGCUCCGAUCACAUCCCCCUCCUCCUGUCCUCCGCCAACGAGCGACCACCGACCCUCCCCCCGUUCCAGUUUGAGACUUUCUGGCUGUCCCAGACUGGAUUCGUGGAGGCGCUCGCGACAUGCUGGGUGGAGGCUUGA